UACGUAGGGUGCGAGCGUUGUCCGGAAUUAUUGGGCGUAAAGGGCUCGUAGGCGGUUUGUCGCGUCGGGGAGUGAAAACUCAGGGCUUAACCCCCGAGCCUGCUUCCGAUACGGGCAGACUAGAGGUAGGCAGGGGAGAGCGGAACUCCUGGUGUAGCGGUGGAAUGCGCAGAUAUCAGGAAGAACACCGGUGGCGAAAGGCGGGUCUCUGGGCCGAUAUCGACGCUGAGGAGCGAAAGCGUGGGGAGCGAACAGG
rnacentral:rRNA from 1 species